rnacentral:rRNA from 1 species
AGCGAACGCUGGCGGCAGGCCUAACACAUGCAAGUCGAGCGCCCCGCAAGGGGAGCGGCAGACGGGAGAGUAACACGUGGGAACAUGCCCUUCAGUUCGGAACAACCAAGGGAAACUUUGGCGAAUACCGGAUAAGCCCGUAAGGGGAAAGAUUUAUCGCUGAAGGAUUGGCCCGCGUCUGAUUAGCUAGUUGGUGGGGUAAUGGCCCACCAAGGCGACGAUCAGUAGCUGGUCUGAGAGGAUGAUCAGCCUCACUGGGACUGAGACACGGCCCAGACUCCUACGGGAGGCAGCAGUGGGGAAUAUUGGACAAUGGGCGCAAGCCUGAUCCAGCCAUGCCGCGUGAGUGAUGAAGGCCUUAGGGUUGUAAAGCUCUUUCGUCAGGGAAGAUAAUGACGGUACCUGAAGAAGAAGCCCCGGCUAACUUCGUGCCAGCCGCCGCAGUAAUAC